CCUACGGGAGGCAGCAGUGGGGAAUUUUGGACAAUGGGCGCAAGCCUGAUCCAGCAAUGCCGCGUGAGUGAAGAAGGCCUUCGGGUUGUAAAGCUCUUUUGUCAGGGAAGAAACGGUGGGGGCUAAUAUCCCUCGCUAAUGACGGUACCUGAAGAAUAAGCACCGGCUAACUACGUGCCAGCAGCCGCGGUAAUACGUAGGGUGCAAGCGUUAAUCGGAAUUACUGGGCGUAAAGCGUGCGCAGGCGGUUUUGUAAGUCUGUCGUGAAAGCCCCGGGCUCAACCUGGGAAUUGCGAUGGAGACUGCAAGGCUUGAAUCUGGCAGAGGGGGGUAGAAUUCCACGUGUAGCAGUGAAAUGCGUAGAGAUGUGGAGGAACACCGAUGGCGAAGGCAGCCCCCUGGGUCAAGAUUGACGCUCAUGCACGAAAGCGGUGGGGAGCAAACAGGAUUAGAUACCCUGGUAGUCCACGACCCUAAACGAUGUCUACUAGUUGUCGGGUUUUAAUUAACUUGGUAACGCAGCUAACGCGUAGAAGUAGACCGCCGUGGGGAGUACGGUCGCAAGAUUAAAACUCAAAUGAGUAGAGNGNGAGAGNGACGAGACGACGACGAGGGAGGAGG
rnacentral:rRNA from 1 species